UGGUAAAUUAAGAGCAUUUAAUCCAUUUAUUUUAUUAAUUACUCUUUGAAUUGAGAGUGAAUGUGACUCUUAAGCCACUAUUGAAUUAAAAAUGACUUUUUUGAAGAUUAUACUGUAAAAAGAUGCAAAUGAGAAGCUUUUUUGGCCCCGACUCCGGCUAAUCCCAGGGUGCUGUGUUAAGUAUCGCGACAGAAUCUAUUUAUGAUAAUGCUCAUGGGGCUUGGGUGUCUGCCAUGACAGGGGUUAACGCCAUAAUCUCUCUGAUAAGGCGAAGAGACAGAAUAUUAGACGCUUCAUUCAAAACACACCCAGACGCAUUGUGAGACCGGUGGAGGAGCAACACCAAGUAAACAACAACAACAACAAUAAAGUUGUUUGCAGACCCCAUCACGGCUGGAGACAAUCUCAAGAUUUGAUUGGAUUACAUGUCCAUCAGGUAAACGAUGAAUUAUGCAUAAUGUUGCUCCCCUGGUGCAAUCACAACAAUUCAAAGUGCCUGACACCAAACAAGUUAAUGUGAGGCGGAUGAGAGCGUCGCGGCUGCUUUUUAGGAAAGACGCCACAUCUGCCGGGGAGAGUUUGUGUCUCCAGGGAGACGGAAAUAUUCAGGUAAUACCCCCGUUUUAUUUUUUCUGAUUGAACAAGUUUAACUCAAAUAUUUGAAGGGGGAUUUAAAAAUGUCUACGGUGCAGAUGACUUUUUUUUAGAUGGAGACUCACUGUUCAUGCUGAAAUGACAAAGACAAUCAUCCAAUCACGGCUCGCGUGUCGCCGAGGGCAACCACGACAGAUGGUGUUUCACAUUACAGUCGUUUCCAGUGGUUUAGCCAGCUGCACGGACACUACUGUACAUCUGUACAUGUGGUUACAGCUUAUGUCUGCAAUGAUCAUUUCUACCCAUGAUUCCGUCCUCAAGCUGUGAUUGGAUGCAUCGCCUUUGUUUUUUUGUUGUUGUUUUUUUGUCACCGUCAACACAUUUCCAGCUAAAAAGAACAACAUUUCUUUGUAUCAAGAGGCAACCGCACGCGAUGUCACCCGCUGAGUCGUGAGCUGCCAUUUUGAAAAAAGAAGUCUCUUUCAUGUGCACAGGUGCAAACCGCCGCCGCCCUCGUCCAUUUCUACAGUGUCCAUCCAGCCGCGGUCCGCGGCUAAACACGGGGUCUUCUGCAGGAGGGGUCAUGGGAGACACAGAUGGAAAUCGAUUAAAUGGUUAGAGCUCACAGGGAUGGGAAACGUGUCGGCCAUGAUCCGGAGCCAGGUGAAUGUCAGGUGAAUGUCGGCUGACCUGACUUGAAACAUGGCGGCGGUGUCUCAUCGGAGGGUUGUUCGUUCAGCCGGUGAAGCGUCAGCACAUGCGCCAGACGAGGAGGAGGAGGAGGAGGAGGAGGACGAGGAGGACGAGGCCUGCCAGGACCGAGUCAGUCUCUCAGAGCAGACGAAGAUCUGAGCCGGAGGUGGAGAGGUUUAACUAUUCUACUACAGCGGAGAGGCUGUGAUUUUAGCGGCGCCAGACUGAAUAUCACCUCAGAUUAGAUCUCAGUCGUCUGUGAGGGAGAGCGGACAGUGAUGCUCCUAUUUGCCCUAAUAAAAUCCUGGAACUCUUCCCUCUCAGCUGGAAGUGGAAAUUUUAAAAUGAAAUACAAACUCAGUGUAGAAGUGAAGCAGAGGAGGAACAAAAUAAUAUUCAGGCUGCAGUCCGGAUGUCAGAAGUCUGUGUCACGUUGCACAGGGAAAAUGUUUUCACAUUUUAAUUGAGGUUUGGGCUUCUUUUAAUGUUUGUUUUAUUGUGGUUUGAGGAUUGUGGGACUGUUAGAAAAUUCAAAUGCAAACUAGAAAACUGAUUUUCGCCUUCAAAGUUUGAAAUGAAGACUCUUUCACACUGUGGAUCCAGUGUGAUGUUCGUUAGUGAAGGCCGACUAACUCAACACACACACUGUUCGUGAGUUCGCACCUCUUCAGAUUCACAGAUCAAAAGAGCAUCAGAGAGGCAUCAGCUGAUGGAAGCUGCUCGGGGAUGUGAGGAAAAUACAAUUCAUGUCUUUUGCACAAAAUAGCUGCAGUUGGUUCAUACUCUCCAGUCGCAAAAACACAUUUUGGAGUUUGUCGAGUGCCAAGGCUAAUGGGAUGUCAUACUGGCCCAAAGCUCGCAGGAAACACCAUUAACAGAAGCCGAAAAGGCCCAGAAAAUAUGCUUCAUAUCACAGGAUUUAAUUAUUUCUGAGCUCAGUGGGAAAAAUAUCUUUCUACAUUGGCCGACCAUCAGGAAAAUCCUCCUCUUAAUUCCAACACAGCAACAAAUUCACUGCCGUCAUGUGCAACCCAUACGCGUCUUUAUCCAUUAUCCCAUCAUAAAACAGAGCUUUCUUAAAAGCGCACAACACUUCUAUAAUCUGACCCGAACGCAAAAAGCUUCCACAUGGGUUAUGUACAAAAAUUUGAUUUGCCCAUAUUCAGUUUAUUCUGAGACAAAACUGUGAAUGUUAGAACAGGAUAGUUUUCGUAUAGUUUGUUGCUGCAAACUUCUCCAGACACAGAGUUCGGACCGAGGCGUCGGUAUAAUGGUCGCAAAUAUCAUUUCUAAAAUAUUUUAUCAUUUAAAUGUCGACCUGUGACGAUAGAUGAAAGGUCGGGGCGUCAGCGCAGAUGAUGAGAUUCAUUCUGCGGGCCAAAUUUAGUUGGUGGUGCUGAACGAAAAGUCCCCAAAGUCCGGAGGGAUCAUCCUCAGGGGACUUGGAAUGUUUGCACCAAAUUUCCUGCCAAUCUUUUUAUUAUUUGAAGAGAUAUUUCCGUCUGGAGCAAAGUGGCAUGCGUGAUUUUCGAUUCGCCUACGAACUGAUUGUCUUCGUCAUCACAGUCAAGACACUGGCAUGGCUACAAAUGUCAAAUCCCCCAGUCGUGGUCGCAGAGUUCUUGUUCACGUUUAGUUUUCCUGCUACUGGACGACGUGGCCGACGGGUUAAGUAGCGUUCGCAAAUCUCUCUCUAGCCUGUGGUUAUGUCAGGCCGCGGGAGACGGAGGAGAACACAAACCGGAUCUGAACUUUCUCAUCAAACAACUUUAAGAUCGCUCAAAUCAGAUUUCAUCUGGUUUUUGGCUUUAAUAAAAAAGAGGAUGCAUUUAAAUCUUUUAUCAAACACGUGUGGGGGGGCGUUAAAGGAUAUGAGGAGAAUUCACUGAGACCCAACGCUGCACCGGCUACGUCCCAUCCUCACUCUGGAUCUGAUGGGAUCUGACGUGACUUCUCUAUUGGAUCCAUGAUAUUUUAAUAUAGCUUUCACUCGGAUCUCCAACACUCCGAGUGUGGAGAUAAAUUAUGGAGCAGUUUAGAGUAAUUGAUAGUAAGUGGGGGGGGGGAGAGAGAAGGAGAAAGACAGGAAACAGCUGCAAACCAGUGAUGGUUUCUAUUUGUGACUCACAUCUGGCUUUCAUCUGAACCAAAGUCUCUCUCUGGUGACACACGCGUGUACGGUAGUUUGUGUGGAGCACGGAUGAAUAUGUGGCUGGAUAGUCGCUGCAGGUUGGUCGCCACCUCCUCAUUGAAAUGCAUGUGCAGCCUUUUCCCUGUUCCACUCCACCCACGGACAAAAUGGUAAGCGGCAGACAUAUUCAGCGAGCCAACGCUGGCUGAUAUGAUUGCGGCAACCUGGUCAGUCAGAGUACGUGGAUCAAUAGCUUGUUAGCGGCGGACCAUCGCAGCCGUCAGUCACCGUCGCAGGCCGCCAUCGCAAACAAGCGGCGGCUGGAUUAGCAACCUGCUCAUAUUGAAAAGCUGUCGGGUGUUUCUGUGUUUGCAUGAAGCCUGAAACCGACCUGAUCGGGGGGAUUUCUCUGGAGUCAUAAAUCUGAUUGAGAUAUUUUACACUCGUAUGUUUCUAAAAAACGAUUUAACUCAAGGACGCUUCUCUUUUUAAAGUCAGGUUAAUCAGAUUAUUUUGUUAGUCUCCGUAUUGCGAGCUGCUGAAGCAGUAGCUUCUCUGGAGAUCACUUCUGUGGCCACUUCGUCUUUAGAGUCUCCGCCUCUUUUUGUUUUGGGCUGAAUGUGAGAUGGCCGUUACGUCCAUAAUGAAAGGAUUCCGUGUUCGAUGACGAAGCAUAUCUGAGAGAAACUUGGUGAUAGUUGGUCGCUGCUGAAACACAUUUAGUGACAUUAAGCUUUUUCACGUUGAGCGUUUUACAACGUCAUCGACCCUCCACCUCUAAAUUGUGCAAAAUUAAAUUUUUUGUGAAUGCAGAAACUUUUAGCAUGGCUAGCAUCAUUGGCCUCGCCGUGCCCAUUUUACACACUGGAGUAUUUCCAGCCGCAACACGGUGCCGGAGGCGCUGACCUCAAAUGACCUCAAAUGACCUACAGUGCGUAUGACUGUGAUCAUGAUGGAACAAGUCACGGAGUGGCUCACUGGGUGUUUGAACAGGUCCGGGACACAGACGUUAAAGCGUCCGUCUGUAGGUUUGAAUGUGUUGACUCGGCUCUGGUGGGCACGGACACUUUCCUCCGUCUGUGGCGUCUGAAAUCUGGAUGUGCGUGGCUGCAGAGCCGAACACUCCCGCCCACUUUGGCCUCGAUUCCCAACACACACACGCACACACACACACACGUACACAAGGGUCGCACACAGCGAUCGCACUCGGAAUCCAAAAGGAAAGUGACACAAUAGGGACACAAAAGCAUCUCAUCUUCAUCUGGGGCGAACUGCUUCUUAUCGUUUAAGGUGAGACUCAACACUUGUUCUGCUCGGGGGGAAUCUGGGUCGCUCUUUCACAAGGGGACCAGUCAGCCGCUUUAUAUGAAGAUGAGACUCACUGCUCGCCUCACAGGACCGGGGGAGACGGGGGGGAAACAAACACAGGAACUAAGAUAAUAACCUUGUUAGGUUUUGCUGUAUCUCACAUUUCUACUGUGUCUUCUUUUCUUUUUUUCAUCACUGCUGCAGAACUGAGUUGCACUCUCGUGAAUAAUCAAUUUUCAAAAUAACUGGUCUACUAAUCACGCUAAUUGCUCAAGGGAGGAGGUGGUGACACACAGCUGCCCCUUGCUACACUGCUUCUCUUUUGUGUAUUGUUCAAUAUGAUGACAGAAAUCACAUCACGAGUUAGGACUUUACACAAACACUAAAGAGGAGGACAAGCAUCAGCAGCCUCACUACACUUGAUUGUUUUCACCAGAGCAGCGAGUUUCACUGUGAGAUACAAACACACUUCAAAGUUGUAAAUGAGCGACCAAUUAAAAGGAAUACAGAAAUCUCUGAUAUGUGUGCAUCCUGGUUCCACAGCCAGCAGCAGAUAAACAAGCACAAACUGGAGAGGAGCGCGCGCGCGUGUGUGUGUGUGUGUGUGUGUGUGUGUGUGUGUGUGUGUGUGUGUGUGUGUGUGU